AUGGCCAAGUCCAAGAACCACACCACACACAACCAGUCCCGAAAAUGGCAAAGAAAUGGUCUCAAGAAACCCCGAUCACAAAGAUACGAAUCCCUUAAGGGGGUGGACCCCAAGUUCCUGAGGAACACGUGUUUGCCAAGAAGCACAACAAGAAGGUCCUAAAGAAGAUGCAGGCCAACAGUGCCAAGGCCGUGAGUGCACGUGCCGAGGCUAUCGAGGCCCUCGUAAACCCCAAGGAGGUUAAGCCCAAGAUCCCAAAGGGUGUUAGCCGCAAGCUUGAUCGACUUGCCUACAUUGCCCACCCCAAGCUUGGGAAGCGUGCUCAUGCCCGCAUUGUCAAGGGGCUCAGGCUGUGCCGGCCAAAGGCCAAGGCCAAGGAUCAAAUGAAGGCCCAGGCUACAGCUGCAGCUUCAGUUCCAGUUCGGGCUCCCAGAGGUGCCCAGGCCCCUACAAAGGCUUC
rnacentral:lncRNA from 1 species